rnacentral:tRNA from 1 species
CAGGGAUUAGCUUAAUUGGUUAAAGCGUACCGUUCGGGACGGUAAGACUGCUGGUUCGAGUCCAGUAUCCCUGA